rnacentral:lncRNA from 1 species
UGGCCAUAGAAGGCUUGCAAAGCAGUUAUCUGAGGAAAACACCAGCUUAUCAAGCUCAUUUCACCCAUUCAUCUUCAGUAGUAUCAAAGUACUAAUCUCUCUUAUCCUCGAGGGCAUUUUUUGAUUGAUCAUUACACAGCUAUCUCCCCUGCUCAGAACAAAAGCCCAGGAUUUAUUCUGUAUGCAACUUAGUCGGGUGCGCUGAGAUAACACAGCAUAGAAUGAAAGAACCCUCCCAAUGCUGGUUCAUCUUUGCGUGGAUGAAGUGGAACUGAAAUACCGCAUCUCUAACAGUAAGUAGUUUGUUUCAGGAUAAAAACAAACUGCAGCAUUACAUGAUCUUUACAGGAACAAGGGGAGUUUCAGCACUUGGAGGGAAACACCAGAUGAGAACAAAUAAAUAGGCUUCCCAGAGCAAAGUGGGCGCACUGCGAUGGAGACGCGGUUCUCUCUGCCAGGGGUUUGCGCCGGCCGCCCGCUGACAGCCGUCGGUUGGUGACAGCCGCCGUCUGGUGACAGCCGCAGACCUGUGACCACCGCAGCCCGGUGACAGCCGCCGUCCGGGA